rnacentral:rRNA from 1 species
GACGAACGCUGGCGGCGUGCUUAACACAUGCAAGUCGAACGGAAAGGCUCCAGCUUGCUGGAGUACUCGAGUGGCGAACGGGUGAGUAACACGUGGGUAAUCUGCCCUGCACUCUGGGAUAAGCCUGGGAAACUGGGUCUAAUACUGGAUAUGACCUUUCUCCUUAUGGGGUUUGGUGGAAAGUUUUUCGGUGUAGGAUGAGCCCGCGGCCUAUCAGCUUGUUGGUGGGGUGAUGGCCUACCAAGGCGACGACGGGUAGCCGGCCUGAGAGGGUGAUCGGCCACAUUGGGACUGAGAUACGGCCCAGACUCCUACGGGAGGCAGCAGUGGGGAAUAUUGCACAAUGGGCGGAAGCCUGAUGCAGCGACGCCGCGUGAGGGAUGACGGCCUUCGGGUUGUAAACCUCUUUCAGCAGGGACGAAGCGUAAGUGACGGUACCUGCAGAAGAAGCACGGGCUAACUAUGUG